UGAAGGCCCUUCAAACCGGCUGGAUUAUUUUUAUUCACCCUUGUCUUUUGCGCACUUGUUGUUUCCUGGGCGGGUUCGCUCGCCACCAGGACCACAUCAUAAACCUUUUUUGUUAAUGCAAUCAGCGUCAGUAUAACAAAUGUAAAUCAUUUACAACUUUCAACAACGGAUCUCUUGGUUCUGGCAUCGAUGAAGAACGCAGCGAAAUGCGAUACGUAGUGUGAAUUGCAGAAUUCAGUGAAUCAUCGAAUCUUUGAACGCACAUUGCGCCCUUUGGUAUUCCAAAGGGCAUGCCUGUUCGAGCGUCAUUUGUACCCUCAAGCUUUGCUUGGUGUUGGGCGUUGUUUGUCUUUGGUCCGCCCAAAGACUCGCCUUAAAACAAUUGGCAGCCGGCCUACUGGUUUCGCAGCGCAGCACAUUUUUGCGCUUGCAAUCAGCAAAAGAGGUUGGUCAUCCAUCAAGACUACAUUUAUACGUU
rnacentral:rRNA from 1 species